GACGAACGCUGGCGGCGUGCUUAACACAUGCAAGUCGAACGGAAAGGCCCUGCUUUUGUGGGGUGCUCGAGUGGCGAACGGGUGAGUAACACGUGAGUAACCUGCCCUUGACCUUGGGAUAACUUCAGGAAACUGGGGCUAAUACCGGAUAGGAGCUCCUGCUGCAUGGUGGGGGUUGGAAAGUUUCGGCGGGUGGGGAUGGACGGGCGGCUUAUCAGCUUGUUGGUGGGGUAGUGGCUUACCAAGGCUUUGACGGGUAGCCGGCCUGAGAGGGUGACCGGCCUCAUUGGGACUGAGAUACGGCGCAGUCUCCUACGGGAGGCAGCAGUGGGGAAUAUUGCACAAUGGGCGGAAGCCUGAUGCAGCAACGCCGCGGGCGGGAUGACGGCCUUCGGGUUGUAAACCGCUUUCGCCUGUGACGAAGCGUGAGUGACGGUAAUGGGUAAAGAAGCACCGGCUAACUACGUG
rnacentral:rRNA from 1 species